rnacentral:tRNA from 1 species
GCCGGGGUGGUGGAAGCGGCAGACACAAGGGACUUAAAAUCCCUUGGGGAUUUCCCCGUGCGGGUUCGAGUCCCGCCCCCGGCA